rnacentral:rRNA from 1 species
GGAGGUACUCAUACUGGGGAGGCCACACCCGUUCCCAUUCCGAACACGGCCGUUAAGCUCCCCGAGGCCGAUGGUAGUGCGUUCGCAAGGAUGUGUGAGAGUAGGUAGGUACCUCCU